CUUAUAUACAAAUGAAUUGAGGUAAUGAAGCCCCUAUAUAAUCCUCAUGGAUGAGUCUAGCUAACUCUGGAGAUGGUGUAUCCCAAAACAAAAAAUCAUCACCAGUUUUUAAGUUUUUUUAGUUAAAUAGUCAGCACAUCUAUUGAUUUCUCUAUAAAUUUGUACAAAAAAUAUUCUCCAGUCAUUCUUUUUCAGUGCAACAAUUCGUCUAACUAGAGAAAUGGGAUGUUUUUCAAAUUUCUUUCACUAUUCAACAGCUUAACAACAGCCGUCGAAUCGCACUCCACAAUGAUUCUCUUCAUUCCCAUAGCCCAGGCUGAUUUCAGGCCUUCCAUGACACCCCAUAGCUCUGCCGUAAAUGUUGUGCAGCUGCCAAUCCUACAGGUAAAUCCAGCAACCCAUCUUCCGUCCUCAUUUCUCACCAAAUUGCCAUAGCCAGCGCAUCUCAUGUUCCCCUGUGAAGACCUGUCUGUGUUAAGCUUUACCCAUCCUUCUGGCGGUGGCACCCAUUUGACGUGAAUCUCAUAUUUCAUCUUCAAUCCUUUAAUCAGGAACUCUAUCGUGUUGCAUUUGGAAGUUAAGAGCAAGACUAAUGGAUGCUUGAGCCAGCAUUAAUCUUUCUGCAAGAGAUAAACACUUACUCUUCCAUCCCUUGAGUUUACUCUGAACCUUUCCCAUAACAUCUUUGAACUUUUCCUUGCCUCUUCUAUUAUUUGUAACCAGGGUUCCAAGGUAUUUUUUGAAUUCCUUUUGUUCUCUGAAUUUCUCUAUGUCCAUAAUCCUCCUCCUUAAAUUUAUAUUUGUGCUUUUUGAGAAGACAAUUGAAGAUUUUUUUCUUCGUUAAUUUUCAAUCCAGACGCCUUGCAAAAUUUUUCUAGCGUUUUUUUAACCCUUUGCAUUUGUUCUUGGCUGGCUUCUGUGAAUAAAAGAACAUCAUCGGCAAAGAUCAGAUGGGAUAUUCUUGGUCCCCUUCUACCUACUGCCAUAGGUUUCCACUCUCCUAGAUGCACCAACUCCUCUAUCAGCUGAGCUAGCUUGUCCAUACAGAUAACGAAAAAUUAUGGAGAGAUGGGGUCGCCUUGUCUCACCCCUCUUUUUGGAAUGAACUCCUCUGUCUUGUUUCCAUUCCACAACACAUUAUAGGACACUAAGUUAAUGCAUUGCAUAAUUAUUUGGAUCACACUUUCACUGGUAAUUUAAACUCCUUAAGUCUAACUUUAAUGAAGUCCCAGCUAAGCUUGUCAUAAGCCUUUUCGAAGUCAAUUUUUAUAGCCAUGAAAUAUUUUUUUCCUUUCAUUCUCUUCAUAUUAUGCAUGAGCUCCUUUGCAAUAAUGAUAUUGUCUUGUAUUUUUCUUCCAGGAAUAAAACUUGAUUGGUGCACCGCUAUUCUAUCAUUGAGAUGAGGUUUGAUUCUGUCUACUAUUAUCUUGGUUAGCACCUUAUAGGUCACAUUACACCGUGCUAUCGGCCGAAACUGGUUGAUGGACUCCGGAUGGUUAAGGUUUGGAACUAGCGUGAUGAGUGUGGAAUUGGCUUGCUUUAUGAUCCCCGGUUCAUUCCAGCAGCUCUGGAUAAAAUCACACACUUUGUUCUUUAUGAUCCCCAAUUAUUUUUAUAAAUAAGUGCCAAAAAGCCAUCACUUCCUAAAGUCUUGAGAGAUCCUAUGUUGAACAAAGCCCUUCGGAUUUCCAUUUUCGUAGGAGUAGCUGCAAGCUUCCUGCAAUCAGAUAAACUGAAAUUAGGGGGUCAUAAUGGUCUAAUUCAAAAGGAACAACUCUUACCUCUUCUUGAUAAAGGUUUUUGAAAUGGCAAGUGAUGUACUUUUUCAAUUCCUCCUCUUCUUCAAUCCACUCCCCCUUUUGUCCUCUGAGUUUAAGAAUUCUAUUUUUUCCUCUUUUAACUAUAGCUUUGCUGUGGUAGAACUUAGUGUUUCUAUUUCCAUCCAUGAUCCAUUUCUCCCACGAUUUUUGUAACCAAAAGGUUUCUUCCGUGUCCAAAACCUCGUUUAGCUCCCUUACAAGCUUCUGUUCCAAACCAUCUAAGUAAGGAUUUUUUCUAUAUGUGCUACUUGUCUGAAUUCCUGCAAGUCUAUUUUGUAUUCUUCUUUUAGUUUUGAAAAUAUUCCUAAAACAGCUCUUGUUCCAUUCGAUUAAGUCCUUCUUUAGUUUUUCAAGAGCAUUGUUGAGAUAAUAAUGAUUAUUCCAACUUGUUUCAAUUAAAUUUUAGAAGUCUGGAUGCAUAGUCCAUAUAGCCUCAAAGCGAAAAGGUCUAUCCCUUGUUUCAUUUAAGCAUUUUUCAGUAGUAAUUAAAAGGAGAUGAUGAUAAGAUUUCAUUCUUGUGAGCAUCUCCAUUGUAGCUUCUUGGAAUCUGUUUCUCCAACUUAAAUUAGUCAUAGCUCUGUCCAAUCUUUUAAAAAUUCUUUCUUGGCCUUCCCAUUGAGGACCUCUCCAAGUGAAUCUCGAUCCAAUGAAACCCAGGUCAAUUAAAUCACAGUUAUUGAUCCAAUUAAUGAAAGCAUUGCAAGCCCUUAGAUCUAUGGCUGCACCUCCCCUUUUCUCUGAACUAUCUUUAAUGUCAUUAAAAUCUCCCUGCAAUAAGCCACUCCCCACUAUCAGUGUUAGCUAUGUUCUGUAAUUUGGGUCAUAGCUCCCUUCUAAUUUGUUAAUGAGGAUUAGCAUAUACUGUAGUGAAAAACCAUUAUCCUCUUCCAUAUUCUUGGACCUUUAUGUGUAUAUAUUGUUGAUGUGCUUCUAUUGAAGUAAUAUUGAUGUCACUCCUGUUCCAGCAAAUUCAUAUCCCACCUGCAAACCCUUAAGCUUCCUCAAUAAUGUAAUUGGUGUAUCCUAAUUGCUUAAUAACAUUUCUAGCAACUUGUCCUCUACACUUUGUUUAUAAAAGAAUGGUAAUGUCUGACUUAUAUUGUUUCAUCAUCUCUUUAUAAAUCCUUCUAAACGCUCCACUAGUAGCCCCUCUCAUUCCAGAUUAUUGUGAUCAUUAAAAAGGAUAACUAAAGGUUAAAGAAAGCUAAAACAACAAAAACUACUUCAAAAGAAAAGAGCACACCUGGAAUUUAGUUCAUCUUCAUUUCAGUGUCCUCUAAAAUACUAGUUUUUAGCGUUGUGAAAUCUAUUCCUUCUAGCAAGCUCGCCUGCCCUCCUUCAGUGCCCUCUGUUUUCAUAGGCACCACCUUUGUUGUCUCAACAUUUAUGGGGUCUGGUGGUUUUCCUUCUAUUGGAUGGGCUUGAUAUGAAGGUUGAAUGCAUUCUUCCAUUAAGGAAGGGGUCCCAUUAGCCUCCUCUGCCCAGUUUUGCUCAUAAUGGUUGAUUCCUUGUUUUAUUGUCCUCACUCUCUGCUCUUUUUCAUUUUCGUUACAACUCUUUUUUUAAGCUAUUGGUUCUUUAUUAGUCUCCUGGUUUGUUUCCCUAUCUUCCACUAUAUGCUUGCUCCUGCUUCCCUUGUCUUUGGUUCUUGACUUGUGUGCGUUAUUUGUUUCUCUUUCAGCAUUAUUGUCACCUUCUCUCUCUUCUUGUUCUUUCUCCUGUGAUGUUUCCUCAAUGGUCAGCACACUAUAUCUUGACCUUCCUCUUCCUCCCAUGUCUCUAGAUUCAGUUUCUUUUUGCCCCUUUUUCCCCUUUUUUGGCCUUUGGACAACCAUCCAUUCUCCGUAUUUGUCCUGCCCUGUAGUGUCAACCUGUUUUUCCUUAUCCAAUCACCCUUGUUUUUCUUGUUCUUGUCUCAUUUCUGCAACUCCAUUGGAUCUUUCAUUCUUUGGAGAGUCUUGGAUUGAUUGAGCUUCUGUUGCUUUUGGAGCUUGUUUUAAAGGGCAAUCUUUUUGCUCAUGGUCUAUUCUCCCGCAAGAAAAGCAUAUCUGAUGAAUACCUUCAUACUCUACUCGGUAUUCCCUUCCAUUGAUUAAAUAUCUCCCCAUUAUGGGUUUAGUUAAAUCAACUUUAACACACAGUCUUGCAAAUUUGCCCCUACAUAAUUCAGCCACAUUGCUAUCUACCUUCACAGUCCAUCCGAUAAGAUUUCCAAUUUUUUUCAAAAUGUUUCUAUCAUAGAGUUCAAUAGGUAGCCAUGGAAGUCUAAUCUAUGCUGUUACCUUGUCUAUAGUGACUGUUUGAGGGUUAAAAUUAGGUUCCCAAAGUCUCACUGUUAGAUAGUGAUCAUAAAGCUUCUAUGGUCCUUCCAAUAAGGUAAAAUCAAAAUCUUCGUUUGAGUAAAACUUGACUAAAUAGAAGUCCUGUCCUAAGUCAAUGACAUCAAGACUUCCAUUGUUACACUACAUUAUCUCUAAUCUUCUUUUCAUUGCUGUAUAUCCCACCUUUCGCCCCAACAGUUUUACUAUAAAUGUAUUUCACCAUGGAUUCCAUAAGUUUCUCUCAGUCUCUUUACUGAUGACAAUAUUAAAAAGUCCUUCCUCAAUUUUCUCCACUUUGAUGUCAGACUAUGAAUCACUCACCGUGUCUGUCUUAGCUCCUUUUGCUUCUUCCUUUCCGGUGUCGAUAGCCAAAUCUAAAUCUUCACCUUCAGUGUGGCUAUCAUGAGACUAUUCUUCACGGUUUGAGCAAAUGACCGAUUCUUAGAUUGGUUUUCGUUGCUUGUACUAUUUUCAAUCAUCCAGUUUUCUUCUCUUAGCACAGGUUGUUGGCUUCCUGUAAAACCUUUACCGUCCUUUCUCACUUUCUUUUUACUUCUCUUCAGCAGAUCUUGCUCCUCAGUAAAGGGAGGUUUCUUUGUCACUGCUUCUCCUCGAUUAUCAACACUGUUCAUGACUUCUCAAACAAGUUAUAGGAUCGACUGUACGGAGAAAAAAACACUCUAUGUGUAAUGGCUAUUUUGCAUAUUCAGUUUGAACAAUACAUGAUUUUGGAAUUUACAACUCUUGAUUGGUGGAUUCGGCAAUAACGAUGUAGGCCGGUCCAAUGAAUUAUUUUUGGAAGUUGAGAAUAUGUGUAGGUUUUUAUAUUCAUGUUUUAUUUUUUUUCUAAUUGAGACUGCUUGACUAUGCUAUUGGGUUGAAUCCACGUAAACUUUUUGCCUUAAUAAAAGAGGACAAAAGAGAGGGAGAAUGAUUAUAUUUUGUUUUUGUAA